rnacentral:rRNA from 1 species
ACGUAGGUGGCAAGCGUUGUCCGGAUUUAUUGGGCGUAAAGCGAGCGCAGGCGGUUUUUUAAGUCUGAUGUGAAAGCCCUCGGCUCAACCGGGGAGGGUCAUUGGAAACUGGAGAACUUGAGUGCAGAAGAGGAGAGUGGAAUUCCAUGUGUAGCGGUGAAAUGCGUAGAUAUAUGGAGGAACACCAGUGGCGAAGGCGGCUCUCUGGUCUGUAACUGACGCUGAGGCUCGAAAGCGUGGGUAGCAAACAG